GAUGCAUAUUUUUGCGUGCUCUUCUUUUAUAAAAUAAAGGUUUCUCUGCGGCUUUCAUGGCUGCGCUUGAUGCCGGAGCGAGGAGGCAUCCCUCUUCCAUUCAUUCUUGCUUCGCUUUUCUACUAUUUGUUGCCAUCCUCUUCCUCUUCUCCGCUCUGCGGCACUCGUUCUCCCCCGAGGGUUUAUCUGGCGUUCAGCCGUUCGCUUCAACGAGAAAUGUAGCUGGCGGCGGCUUAUGUAACUACACAAGCGGAAAGUGGAUUCGAGACCAAAGUUCCGUCAUUCCUCGUUAUGAUAGCUCUUGCAAGGAGAUCUUCAAGGGAUGGAACUGCAUAUCCAGCGGCAAGUCGAACGCCCGCGAUCUGUCGCAGUGGAGGUGGUUGCCCUCGGGCUGCGAUCUACUUCCUCUAGAUCCCGUCUAUUUUCUUCGCCGAUUCAGAAACAAAAGCAUAGGUUUUGUUGGUGAUUCAUUGAAUCGGAAUAUGUUUGUUUCUCUGGUCUGCAUGUUGAGGAGAGUUCAUGUGGGAGACGUGAGGAAGUGGCGGCCGGCUGGUGCUGACCGAGGAUUUACCUUUCUGCGCAACAACCUCACAGUGGCGUAUCAUCGUACUAAUCUCCUGGCACGAUAUGGUAGUUGGUCAGCCAGCCCAAAUGGAGUUGCCCUAGAGUCUCUUGGUUUCAAACAAGGUUACCGAGUGGAUGUUGAUGUACCUGAGCAUACAUGGGCAGAGGCACCUCUCUUCCAUGAUAUCAUCAUCUUCAACACGGGGCACUGGUGGUGGUCUCCAUCAAAGUUUGAUCCAAUUCGGUCACCUAUGUUAUUUUUUGAGAAGGGUAUGCCUGUGCUACCUCCUUUACCUCCAGAUGUUGGCAUUGAUAUCACUCUGAAACAUAUGAUAUCAUACAUAGAAACAAGGAUGAAGUCCAAUGGUAUCAAAUUUUUUCUCACUCAAUCUCCUAGACACUUCGAAGGAGGUGAUUGGAAUCAAGGUGGUUCAUGCAGGCGUGUGCAACCACUUGCGGCAGAAGAAACUACAUGGCCAUGCCUAAGAUGUGCCUAUGAACCAUGAUAGCAGGAUGAAAGGCCAAGCCUAGAUGUUUCUUAGCUACUAAGUUUAUGAGUUAUGAGGUCUAUAUGAUUCUCAUGGACAAUAUAACUCCUGGUUCCCUCAUAGAACCUUGGAUUAGAUUUGAUUGGCUUCCUCCUUCGACUAAAGUAUGCCAGAUAACAUGAGAACCCAAGUUUACAAAAUCAUGAAUCUUAUUUUGGUUUAUUAUCAUUCCCCCGACAUUUUUUCUAAGGAUAAUUAAUUACAGAGGAUUGCACCCAUGAGAAAUCUCUGCAUCAUGAAUUUCAAGUUCUUUAUGAAGAGUUGAGUGGAGGCGUUUUAGGAUAAAGUUGAUAGCUGAGUGACUGGAUUUUUAAGCUAAGGUUGAAGAUUUUUUUAAUUUGGAAAGAAAUGGAACGAAUGUGGAGGUUCG